UACGGGGGGGGCAAGCGUUGUUCGGAAUUACUGGGCGUAAAGGGCUCGUAGGCGGCCCUCUCAGUCGGAUGUGAAAUCCCCAGGCUUAACCUGGGAACGGCAUCCGAUACUGGAGGGCUUGAAUUCGGGAGAGGGAUGCAGAAUUCCAGGUGUAGCGGUGAAAUGCGCAGAUAUCAGGAGGAACACCGGUGGCGAAGGCGGCAUCCUGGACCAAUACUGACACUGAGGCGCGAAAGCGUGGGGAGCGAACAGG
rnacentral:rRNA from 1 species